rnacentral:rRNA from 1 species
GAGUUUGAUCUUGGCUCAGAUUGAACGCUGGCGGCAGGCCUAACACAUGCAAGUCGAGCGGUAGAGAGAAGCUUGCUUCUCUUGAGAGCGGCGGACGGGUGAGUAAUGCCUAGGAAUCUGCCUGGUAGUGGGGGAUAACGCUCGGAAACGGACGCUAAUACCGCAUACGUCCUACGGGAGAAAGCAGGGGACCUUCGGGCCUUGCGCUAUCAGAUGAGCCUAGGUCGGAUUAGCUAGUUGGUGAGGUAAUGGCUCACCAAGGCGACGAUCCGUAACUGGUCUGAGAGGAUGAUCAGUCACACUGGAACUGAGACACGGUCCAGACUCCUACGGGAGGCAGCAGUGGGGAAUAUUGGACAAUGGGCGAAAGCCUGAUCCAGCCAUGCCGCGUGUGUGAAGAAGGUCUUCGGAUUGUAAAGCACUUAAGUUGGAGGAAGGCAGUAAUUAAUACUUUAGCUGUUUGACGUUACCGACAGAAUAAGCACCGGCUAACUCUGUGGCAGCCGCCG